UUCUCCUGGAAAACGGGUGGUAAUGCCGGAUGCUCCAGUUGAUCGCAUGGUCUUCUGGGAAAGCUUUCGCGGUAUGGGAUGGGGUCGCGUCCUAUCAGCUUGACGGCGGGGUAACGGCCCACCGUGGCUUCGACGGGUAGCCGGCCUGAGAGGGCGACCGGCCACAUUGGGACUGAGAUACGGCCCAGACUCCUACGGGAGGCAGCAGUGGGGAAUAUUGCACAAUGGGCGCAAGCCUGAUGCAGCGACGCCGCGUGAGGGAUGGAGGCCUUCGGGUUGUAAACCUCUUUUAUCGGGGAGCAAGCGAGAGUGAGUUUACCCGUUGAAUAAGCACCGGCUAACUACGUGCCAGCAGCCGCGGUAAUACGUAGGGUGCAAGCGUUAUCCGGAAUUAUUGGGCGUAAAGGGCUCGUAGGCGGUUCGUCGCGUCCGGUGUGAAAGUCCAUCGCUUAACGGUGGAUCCGCGCCGGGUACGGGCGGGCUUGAGUGCGGUAGGGGAGACUGGAAUUCCCGGUGUAACGGUGGAAUGUGUAGAUAUCGGGAAGAACACC
rnacentral:rRNA from 1 species